CAAAGGCCCCAAAGGAAGCCACGGCUAACUCUGUGCCAGCAGCCGCGGUAAUACAGAGGUGGCAAGCGCUGUUCGGUAUUAUUGGGCGUAAAGAGCACGUAGGUGGUUCUGUAAGUCAGAUGUGAAAGCCUUCUGUUCAAAGGAAGAACGGCAUCUGAAACUACAGAUCUUGAGUGUAGGAGGGGAGAGUGGAACUUCUGGUGGAGCGGUGAAAUGCGUAGACAUCAGAAGGAACGUCGGCGGCGAAAGCGACUCUCUGGCCUAUUACUGACUCUGAGUGUGCGAAAGUUAGGGGAGCAAACGGGAUUAGAUACCCCGGUAGUCCUAACUGUAAA
rnacentral:rRNA from 1 species